rnacentral:rRNA from 1 species
AGAGUUUGAUCAUGGCUCAGAUUGAACGCUGGCGGAAUGCUUUACACAUGCAAGUCGAGCGGCAGCACGGGGGCAACCCUGGUGGCGAGCGGCGAACGGGUGAGUAAUACAUCGGAACAUGCCCAGUCGUGGGGGAUAACACUUCGAAAGAAGUGCUAAUACCGCAUACGUCCUGAGGGAGAAAGCGGGGGAUCGCAAGACCUCGCGCGAUUGGAGUGGCCGAUGUCAGAUUAGCUAGUUGGUGGGGUAAAGGCCUACCAAGGCAACGAUCUGUAGCUGGUCUGAGAGGAUGAUCAGCCACACUGGGACUGAGACACGGCCCAGACUCCUACGGGAGGCAGCAGUGGGGAAUUUUGGACAAUGGGGGCAACCCUGAUCCAGCCAUUCCGCGUGAGUGAAGAAGGCCUUCGGGUUGUAAAGCUCUUUCGGCAGGAACGAAACGGUGAGCUCUAACAUAGCUUGCUAAUGACGGUACCUGAAGAAGAAGCACCGGCUAACUACGUGCCAGCAGCCGCGGUAAUACGUAGGGUGCGAGCGUUAAUCGGAAUUACUGGGCGUAAAGCGUGCGCAGGCGGUUGUGUAGGACAGGUGUGAAAUCCCCGGGCUUAACCUGGGAACUGCGCUUGUGACUGCACAGCUAGAGUGUGGCAGAGGGGGGUGGAAUUCCACGUGUAGCAGUGAAAUGCGUAGAGAUGUGGAGGAACACCGAUGGC